AAAGUGUAAAGGAAGAUGGGUAUCAUGCUUUGGAAGACUUUCUUCAUGUUAUUGUAAAUGGUCUGUGGCGUACAUUUUGGCGUAAAAGUGGACCACUGCCAUUCUCUCUAUGUUGUUUCCAUCAUCCUGGAUCUAAGUUUUAUGCUGUUGAGAAAGCAAUAUCAAGAGGAAGGUUAGAAGAGCUACGCGGUUUAGCUUUAAUAUCUAAAAAUGGGAAUAAUCUAAAAGUUCAUUGGAACCAAGUAGUGGAGUUAGUCUUAUUUAGACAAAACAUACUCUCAGGAAAUGAGUUAAAAUUGUCCGUCAGCACCAUAUGUGAAGCCCUCUUUUAUGGUGUUCACAUACUUAUUUCUAGGUGUCUGAGCAAGUCCAGAACCAUCAGCGAUGAUUCUGUUUUUAUUAUGGUUUUUGAUUCUAAAUUUGGUGCAGUGAUAAAACUUGGAGGUGAUCUUAGUAAACUAGAAUUGAACACAGGUGAUCCGUACCAGUCUGUGGCCCAUUGGAUAAAAUGUCAUGCUGAAGUCCUCCUCUCAUCAGUAGAGACAAUAUGGAAUAGGCUUGGAAAUGCAAAUUGGGGAGAUCUUGGGACUCUUCAAGUAUUGUUAGCUGCUUUCUAUUCCAUUGUCCAGUGUAAUGGACCACCAAGAAAGUCAAUAUCCUCAUUGGCCUCAGCUCAUAGCCUUCGUCUUCAGAAGCGUAGAAUAGAAUGCCGCCUAGCUGAGAAUGAAAAUGCCAAAAUACCUUAUCAACAGGAUGGCUACCAACAUGGAGAGAUUGUUGAACUUGAUCACAGUGAUAAUCCCCUGGUAAAAAAUACAUCACACUUGAAGCUUAGGCAGGGAGAAAUAUUGCUCUUGGAGGAUCAACAACAGGGCCAGAAAAGUUUCCAGAUACAGGAGUCCUUCAUAGGAGGCAACUAUUUUCUCUAUGGUGCUAUUUCUCUAGAUUACCCCACACAGUUGUUAACAUUGUAUGUUGGUGCCCAUCCAUCCAGACUCGAGCCCUCUUGGGAGGAUAUGAGUCUGUGGUAUCAAGUACAAAGACAAACAAAGGUACUAAACAUAUUGAAGCAUCAAGGGGUUUCAAGCAAAUAUUUACCUGAAGUAAUUGCCUCUGGCCGAAUUUUGCAUCCUGGUCCUUGCAAAAAGCAGACUCCUAGUGUGCGAUGCGAUCAUCCUUGGUGCGGAACUCCAAUUCUUGUCACGUUACCAGUUGGCGAACCACUUUCAUAUAUAGUUGCUAGGGAC
rnacentral:lncRNA from 1 species